rnacentral:lncRNA from 1 species
AACACUGUCCAGAAAAUAAACCUCUGCACGAACAGCUUCUGUUUUGCCACGAUUUGAGAUCCUUAAAGCACCCCAAUUGUGAUGCCUCUAGUUAGUCCACACUUAGAAAUGUUCUAGGAGUUCAUAGGAUUUGGAAUCACGAAAUUUCGUUUAGAAAUGAGAGAGAUAAUGAAGAAACAUGAAUGCUAGUUCAUGAUAAUUCAUUCCACCAAAUAAAGCCACCAUUAUCUUCAAUAAUGGCACCAAACAUUAUCAUGUGCUAG